CCCCCCCAGGUGAUCUCACCACCUCGGCGCAGCGCUCGGGCAAAGGUCUCACCGCCGUGAGCUUCGAGGGCGCCGAGCGGUCCCUGGCCGCGGCCGCGAGCCGGGAGACGCCGAGCAGCGACUCCUCCAGCCUGGACUCCCUCAACAGCGGCUCCUUCGGGGCGGACGCCCUGACCGGCGCAGCCCACGGCGGUGCCGAGCGCGACCUGGACUCGGAGGAGGCCCUGGCGUCCCAAGGGAUAUGAGACGGCCGAGCCCCACCGGAGACGCCACCCCGGACCCCGCUGCUUCCCGCUGGCUCCCCGUGGCCCCCCCCGGCGCCCCCCAGCCCCGGGGCCGGAGUGGGCUGGACCCCUCCGUGCGCCCCCGGGGCUGGGCCGGGGGGCUGGGGGCUCCCCUGUACCCGCGGCCCCUCGACCCCCAAUAAAGGUCCCUGCAGCAGCCGCCUGGUGUCGUGGCCGGAUCCGGGGGGGGGGACGCGGCCGGGCACCGGCACUGCCAGCCAGCGCGCGGGAGCCCAUCCCYGUGGCCUCCCGGCGCGGGACUCCGGCUCCACCGCAGUUUCCCCUCCUGCAGCGGCACCCGGCUUUGCCAGCCCCGGGACGCCAAAAGCCGGCGAUCGGGAGGAAAUUUGGGGGGGRAAAAGGAAAAAACCCGCCGAGGGCUGUUCGGCCCCGAGUCCCACGAAAGCUUUUGGGCCUCCGCGUUUCCCAGGUCCCUGCGCCGACCCGGAGCCCCCGGGCGUCUCCAUCCGGCCCCGCUGCCCCCGGAGUCGAGCACCCUGCGCUGGGGGGUUCUCCAAGCGCUUUGCAGCAUCCGAGAGCCUGGACGCCAUGGGCAUCCCCCCCGCCCCGUCCCGGCAGCGUUUGCCCAUCGCGGCUCCGGCCGGGAAACGGGAGCCGCUCGCGAUGGGGGAUCCCAGCCCYGGGCAGCUCCCGGCGGUGCCACUGCCUUCGCUGGGCUCCUGCCGCGGUCCCGGGCGCUUCCAGGCCCCGCGGGAGGCUGCUCCAUGGGAAAUCCCMGCGGGAAGGUCGCGGAGCCCCCCGGCCGCGAUGCCGCGUUUCAGACGCCCGAGUGCGGCGGCGUUAUUGUACUUUCCGGCCAGGAAGAUGCGGGCUCCUCUCCCGCAUCCCGCUCCGGCGGGCGUCGCGCAUCCCGCUGCCGGGCGCUUCGGGUGGCCCCCACACCAGACCCCCUCUCCCGGCUCCCACCCACCACCCUCCCCUCCGCAGGGCACCUCCGGCUCCGGCUCCGGCUCUGGCGGAUAGACCCCGCUCUGGGAGAAGGGCACGGGGUGGGCGACCUUGGAAAACCAACCGAAGGGAGACCGAAGCGCCCCAGCGCAGCUCUCCGGCCCCCGGGGGAGGGAGGCUGCCAGCGGCUCCCCAGGCAGAGCCGGGCUGA
rnacentral:lncRNA from 1 species